CAGGAAGUUCCGAUGCGUUAUCUGCUAUUAAGCAGUGAGAAUUGGUUUUUAGUUAAUUUACCUGGUAAAAUAAAAUUUAAAUAAAUUACAUAAAUGCUCUAAUAGUACACGUAGUUCCGGUCCGAAGCCUUGUAGUUCCCGUACCAGACAGUGAUGCAGCUGGAGAGAAGGCUUUCGAUGGUGCUGGUGUAGAAUGUCUUGAGGAUCUGUGGUGGGAGGAGCGCUCUUUUCAGUCUUCACAGAAAGCGCAGGCAUCUUGACUCCCCAGUUCCAGAGACCCCCACAAAGACGAGAGCUGCCCUCACCCAAGCUACUGAGGAAAGCCUUCCUCAUUGCGGAG